UACGUAGGGGGCAAGCGUUGUCCGGAUUUAUUGGGCGUAAAGAGCGUGUAGGCGGCCUGACAGGUCUGCUGUGAAAACUCGAGGCUCAACCUCGAGAUGUCGGCGGAAACCGUCUGGCUAGAGUCCGGAAGAGGAGAGUGGAAUUCCUGGUGUAGCGGUGAAAUGCGCAGAUAUCAGGAAGAACACCUAUGGCGAAGGCAGCUCUCUGGGACGGUACUGACGCUGAGACGCGAAAGCUAGGGGAGCAAACGGG
rnacentral:rRNA from 1 species